GAAAAGAAACCAACCGGGAUUCCAUUAGUAACGGCGAGUGAAGCCGGAAAAGCCCAUCGCCAAAUCUUCCACUUUUUCGGUGGCGAGAACUGUGGCGUAAAGGACCGUGCAGUCGGGACGGCAGAACGGACAAGUUCCGCGGGACAGGUUUGCUCCCAGAGUGGGUGUAAGGCCUUUAACGUCGUUCGCGCCGCUCGGCAAUGCACUGGCAGCCAGAGAGUAGAGUUGUUUGGGAUUUCAGCUCAAAGCGGGUGGUAAGCUCCAUCUGAGGCUAAAUACCGGCGCGAGUCCGAUAGCGAACAAGUACCGUGAGGGAAAGUUGAAAAGAACUUUGUAAAGAGAGUUCAAAAGACCGUGAAAGCGCCUACGGGCAAACUGGAGGAACCGACUUUUUGCGACUGACGGAAUCCAGCUCCCCGACCUCGGCGCAGGAGUUUUCGGACGGGUUCUCCUCGGGGAACGCGGCGGGGACAUCUGCGUCCGCGAUCGAGGGUGUAUCUUGCGUCUGGUCGCCGGUUGCCGCGGUUUCGACGUCCUUCGUCUCUGGCUUGGGGGAGUGUGGCCUCGGGGGCCGCCUCGGCGGCUCGUUCAAGGUCUGCCCUCGCCACUCGGAACGGCGGACGAUUCGUCGGAACGCGGUCUCCCACCCCCGCGCCGUUUCGCAGCGAGAGUUUGGAAAGCGGUCGAUCAGGUCGCGCCCCAAAUUUCCCCGCUAGCGGGUGUUGUCGGGGGUAGAAACAAUUAGCCGUGUCGGCCCUCUUCCAGACCCGUCUUGAAACACGGACCAAGGAGUCUAACGUAGUCGCGAGUCUCCGGGUAAGUUAAUCCUGCUGGCGCAACGAAAGUGAAAUGGCCCGAUUUUCGUUCGGACGCAGGGCCGGCCUGUCGGGGGUUUGUCAACGGCCCCGGUGGAGCCAGAGCGACUGUGUUGGGACCCGAAAGAUGGUGAACUAGGCCCGAGCGGGACAAAGCCGGGAGAAAUGCUGGUGGCGGUCCUAAGUGGUUCUGACGCGCAAAUCGAUCAUGAAACUUGGGUCUAGGGGCGAAAGACUAAUCGAACCAUCUAGUAGCUGGUUCCCUCCGAAGUUUCCCCCAGGAUAGCUGGCACUCGAGAAGACAGUUUCGUCCGGUAAAGCGAAUGAUUAGAGUAGUCCGUACCGUGAUGGUGGGGAGCUAUUCUCAAACUUUGAACGGGCGCAAGGGAGAGUAAACCGCUCGGACAUGGGAACUCUCCGAAGCAAAUGUGCGAGUGCCAAGUGGGCCACUUUUGGUAAGCAGAACUGGCGCUGUGGGAUGAACCAAACGCCGGGUUAAGGCGCCCGAUCGUCACGCUCAGUAGAAACCACAAAAGGUGUCCAUCGGUCUAGACAGCAGGACGGUGGCCAUGGAAGUCGGUAUCCGCUAAGGACUGUGUAACGACUCACCUGCCGAAUUGGUGGGC
rnacentral:rRNA from 2 species